ACGUCAUCCACACCGGUCACCAACAUGUCAAACCCAGGUAAGGUUCUUCGCGUUGCGUCGAAUUAAACCACAUGCUCCGCUGCUUGUGCGGGUCCCCGUCAAUUCCUUUGAGUUUUAGCCUUGCGGCCGUACUCCCCAGGCGGGGCACUUAAUGCGUUAGCGCCGGCACGGGAGGAGUCGACACCUCCCACACCUAGUGCCCAUCGUUUACGGCGUGGACUAC
rnacentral:misc_RNA from 1 species